ACGCACGCUGGCGGCGUGCUUAACCCCUGCAAGUCGAACGGAAAGGCCCUGCUUUUGUGGGGUGCUCGAGUGGCGAACGGGUGAGUAACACGUGAGUAACCUGCCCUUGACUUUGGGAUAACUUCAGGAAACUGGGGCUAAUACCGGAUAGGAGCUCCUGCUGCAUGGUGGGGUUGGAAAGUUUCGGCGGUUGGGGAUGGACUCGCGGCUUAUCAGCUUGUUGGUGGGGUAGUGGCUUACCAAGGCUUUGACGGGUAGCCGGCCUGAGAGGGUGACCGGCCACAUUGGGACUGAGAUACGGCCCAGACUCCUACGGGAGGCAGCAGUGGGGAAUAUUGCACAAUGGGCGGAAGCCUGAUGCAGCAACGCCGCGUGCGGGAUGACGGCCUUCGGGUUGUAAACCGCUUUCGCCUGUGACGAAGCGUGAGUGACGGUAAUGGGUAAAGAAGCACCGGCUAACUACGUG
rnacentral:rRNA from 1 species